GAGUUUGGGACUUGGUCACAAGGAAACCUGGUGGCUGAGGGGACUGGAGGUUAGGCAGUCAGCUGUAAGGACCACCUAGGACAGUCUAAUAUCCGAGGGUGGGCUCCUGGGACCCAGACGUUCUGAUGCUGGGGUACAGGGCCCCCGGGUGUUCAGACAAUGAGUGCAGGUGUCUGGUGUCCAGGUGAGCAGCGUUCAGGUGCAGAAUCGCCAAGGAGCGUGAGGCAGCAGGAGCGCGUCCCCAGGGAACGGGUAGAAGCCACUCCGCCCCAAGAGCGUCCGCAGGUCCUCAGGGCACAGGGACGACCCAGACCUGCCCAGAAGACGAGCCAGCGCUCAGACUCACGGGGUGCAGGGACCCAGGUGCCCAGACUGGGUACAGAGACUCACUCAGGCUAAUGGGGUGCAGAGACUAGACUCACUCAAGCUAAUGGGGUGCAGAGACUAGACUCACUCUGGCUAAUGGGGUACAGAGACUAGACUCACUCGGGCUAAUGGGGUACAGAGACUAGACUCACUUGGGCUAAUGGGGUACAGAGACUGGACUCAGAAUAAUCGGGGUAUGGGGCAUGGGGACGAGACUGAGGCCAGUGGGGUGCAGGGACCAGACGCUGGGCCUCUCUGGAGCAGGAAACCAGCCUGGGUCGUGCUCGGCUCCUGUGGGCUCAGGUACACAGUCCAGACCCCUGGGCGGCUCGGGGUGGGCAGGCGGCCCAGCACUCUAAUGAAUGGUGCACAGAGAGCAGAGACAAGGGUGAAUGGGACACAUACAGCCGUGCGAGGGACGGGCACAAGGCGUCCAAAACCACAGGAAGAGGGCACCGGCCCCUGGGCCCUGGGCCCGCGAGCUGUGUCAAUGGGGGAUUCAGUGGGCUCAACAAGCCGGUACAGGCUGUCCAGGGCCCUGGCGACCAUAGAAUAGAGUCCUGUUCCCCAGCUGACGGGGCCAGCUCACCCAGGCUGUGAGGGCACUCAGGUGACCAGGACACGUGCCCCAGGUAUUCACAAGUGGGGUCAGAGACACAGACUCUCGGCGUCCCCGGGUGAACAGGGAGCCUGGGACAAAGUAGGGGGGGGCUCACACAAAUCUCCAGAAGGGGGCUCUGGGACCUCAGCGCCCCCAGACCCCCAGGAGGUGGAGCAAGUAAGGGAGGUAGAGACCCCCAUCCAGCUGGUGAGUGGGUUCCAGCCAGCAGAUGAUGGGUAGGUGCCACCAGACCUUCAGGGAAAUGGGGUUCACCUGGACACCCCAAGGAGUGGUAUGCACGUCCUAAGAGCCCAGGUUCUCAGAACACGGGCACCACGCCCAAAGGACCAGAACACAGUGUCACAGUCAGAGUGGGGAGCAGGUAUCGAUGCUCCGACCAUGGGGUGCAGCCUCUCCCAAAGAUGGGGUACAGUUCCUAUGUGGUCGGAUAAUAGGGUAACCUCCCUGGGUGCUCGGGUGAUGGGCAAAUUCUUCCCUGGUGCCUGGAAGAUGGGGUUCAGUUUACCUGGGAUGUUGGAAUGUUGGGGUACAGCCUCCCAGGUGAGCAGAGCAGGGACAAUCUGAGUCAGAGGUGACUGGGGCACCCACAGUGGUCUCAGGGUGCAGAGGACAGGGCCCG
rnacentral:lncRNA from 1 species